CCGUAGCUCCGCCAAUUAUUAUGAUAUAGUGGUCGGUGCAAACACGGCCGUCGUAGUGUCGGUUCGAAUUUUCCGUCUGUAGCAAAAGUUUCCGUACCGUAGCAGUGAAUUCUCGUCCGACAAUAAUACUCAGUCCCGUAAUGUUUUCGUCGGGAAAUCACUACAGUGGAAGAGAAUUCCGCUCGUUUCGCGAUGACGUUCAGUACAGCAAAUAAUAUGUCAUUCCGUUCUCGAAAAGUAAAACGCGUUAAUACGGACUUCGGGUGGAGACAAGAAAAAAAAAUACAAAUAUAAACACAAAUGACGAACAAAAACGAAUUGUUUUUAUGAUAUAAUAUCAUUGUUGGUAUACCGUCAGACAGGUGCCACAGA